rnacentral:pre_miRNA from 1 species
UUUGUACUCCCUCCGUUCAGAAUUACUUGUCGUAGAAGUGGAUGUAUCUAGACGUAUUUUAAUUCUAGAUACAUCCAUUUUCGAGACAAGUAAUUCCAAACGAAGGGAGUACAUC